UACGUAGGUGGCGAGCGUUGUCCGGAAUUACUGGGCGUAAAGAGCGCGCAGGCGGUCGUUCAAGUCGAGUGUGAAAGCCCCCGGCUCAACUGGGGAGGGUCAUUCGAUACUGAUCGACUCGAAGGCAGGAGAGGGAAGUGGAAUUCCCGGUGUAGUGGUGAAAUGCGUAGAUAUCGGGAGGAACACCAGUGGCGAAGGCGACUUCCUGGCCUGUUCUUGACGCUGAGGCGCGAAAGCUAGGGGAGCAAACGGG
rnacentral:rRNA from 1 species